CCUCUACAUAUACUUAUACAACACAAUAUAUAAGUCACCUCGCUCUCUCUCUCUCUCUCUCUAUAUAUAUAGAGUGAGGCUACUAUACUAUCGGAAGUACAGAGCCUUCCGUGCUUCCAGCUCGUUUUUGAUGUUGCGACUUUCGAAUCGUCGAUCGGCUCCGUUAAACUUGAUCUAGAGUAUUUGGAGUACCUAGAAAAUAAAUUUUAUGAUUUUACGAUAUCAUUUGCCUAGUGAACGAAGGGGCUCAAAAUCAACGGCUGAAAAUAAAAAUCUUACAAAAUGUAAUAAUAUGACAUUAAAAUUUUAAAUCAAAGAUAUUGAUCUUGUUUUAUAUAGUAUAAAGAAUUUUCUAUCAAAAUUUCACGUGAUUUGAAUAUUUUUACACCGUUAAACUUGCAAACGGCUCACUACGGCCAUUGAAAUUUAUUGAUUUUGAGCUCAUUCGAUUACUUGGCAAAUGAUAUCGAAAAAUAAUAAAAUUUAUUUUUUAGGUACUCCAAAUACUCUAGAUCAAGUUUAACGGAGCCCGAUCGACGAUCCGAAAGUCGCAAAAUCGAAACGAGCUGGAAUCACGGAAGCCUCCGUGCUUCCGAUAGCAUCGUAGCCUCACUCUCUCUCUCUAUCGCGCUACGCGACAACAAUCUCACACGACCACGAAGCAUCAGACUCUCAUGUAAGAAGAACGACAUCCUGAAAGCAUACCCCUCACGUGCCAAGGUGCCCUCCCUUCUAAUCUCACCGCCGUUACCCACGACCGCUCUCUCUUACUGGCUUCACCUCUAGUCUCUCUAUCAGCUCUCUCUCUCUCUCCUACUCAACAUCCUCCCGUCUCUCCUCUCUCUCUCUUUUUCUCAGCCUCUCUCCUCCCCUCUCCCUUCUCCUCCUCCGUCUCUGACUUCUCCUUCGUCUCUCCUCCUAUACUCCGAACUCUCUACUCAUGCUCUCUCGCAAAUCUCUCCUCCUCUCUGCUGUCUCUCUCUAUAUAUAUAUAAUAAUAUAUAUAUAUAUAUAAUAUAUAUAGAGUAGGGCUACUUGGCUAUUAGGAGCACAGCAGCCUUUGUGCUCCUAAGUUCUUUACCGCCCAUCGAAUUUGAUGGUGGUUAGAGUGAAAGCGAAAAGAGAAAUUGAAGAGAAAUUGGGUUUUUAAUUUCUCUCUCUUUGAAUUUCUCUGCUAAUUUCUCUCUCCUUUUCACCUAACCACCCAUCAAAUUUGAUGGGCGGCUAAAGAACUUAGGAGCACAAGGGCUGCUGUGGCUCCUAAUAGUACAGUAGCCCUUACUCUAUAUAUAUAUAUAUAGAGUAUGGCUAGAAUACUUGUAAAAGUAUCACGGGGGUGAUACUUAUGUGUUUUAGCCCUUGGAUGGAGAGAUGUGAGGUUGAGAUGAUGGUGGUAGGUGGUGGUAGAUGGUGGUAGCUGGAAUAGUGUUUAAUCCAAGGGCUAUUAAUAAUCAAAAAGUAAAUCAAUGUCUUAACAACCUAAUAGCACUGAUGGUGAUACUUGUAAAAAGUAUCAUAGCUCAACUCUAUAUAUAUAUAUAUAGUCCUCUACUAUACUAUUGAUAGUAUCAAGCCUUUGGUACUAUUUGAGUUUUCUACGGUUAGAUCUACCCUUUGAUCAUUUCCAUUCGUUAGAUUAUACUAUUAACCUAUCCAACCACUCAACCUUAGGGGCCACUAUCAUCCUACCGCACAUCUUCUUCAUCCAACGGCAAAACCUCAAUAGUACCAAAGGCAUAGUACUAUUGAUAGUAUAGCUGCAUAUAUAUAUAUAUAUAGAGUUGAGCUAUGAUACUUUUACAAGAUCACCAUCAUGGUGCUAUUAGGUUUAAGCCAUUGGAUCUCUUUUUGAUUAUUAAUAGUUCUUGAUUAAACACUAUUCCAGCCUACCCACACCUACCACCACCUACUCCCAUCAUUCUCAACCUCACAUCUCUCUAUCUAAGGGCUAAAAACACACAAGUAUCACUUGAGUGAUACUUGUAAAAGUAUCUAGCCCUACUAUAUAUAUAUAUAUAUAAUAUAUAUAUAUAUAUAUAUAUAUAGAGUGAGGCUACUAUGCUAUCGGAAGCACGGAGCCUUCUGUGCUUCCAGCUCGUUUUCGAUUCGACUUUCGAAUCGUCGAUCGCUCCGUUAAACUUGAUCUAGAUGUAUUUGACCCUAGAAAAUAAAUUAUGAUUUUACGAUAUCAUUUGCCUAGUGAACGAAGGGGCUCAAAUCAACGGCCCGAAAAUAAAAUCUUACAAAAUGUAAUAAUAUGACAUUAAAAUUUUAAAUCAAAGAUAUUUUGAUCUUGUUUUAUAUAGUAUAAAAUUUUCUAUCAAAAUUUCACGUAAUUUGGAUAUUUCUACACCGUUAAACAUGCAAACGGCUCACUACGGCCAUUGAAUUCGUUGAGUUUGAGCCCAUUCGAUCACUAGCAAAUGAUAUCGAAAAAUAAUAAAUUUAUUUUCUAGUACUCCAAAUACUCUAGAUCAAGUUAACGGAGCCGAUCGACGCAUUCGAAAGUCGGCAACAUCGAAAACGAGCUGGAGAGCACGGAAGGCUCCGUGCUUCGAUAACAUAGUAGGGCCAUCAGCUCUAUAUAUAUAUAUAUAUAUAUAUAUAUAUAUAUAUAUAUAUAUAUUGUGAGGGUGAGGAUGUUUGUCAUUCACUAAAAAGUACAACCCACAUUCAAGGCUUUAAUUCAAAUUAUUAAAUCACCGACGCUCUCCUCUGACUUCAAGGUGUCAUUGUACGAUUGGCUGACGAUAUAUACAACUCACAUCAGGCCAUACAGUAUAAAAUGUGUCAUUAUUUUUAACUUUAUUGCUCGUUAAAUUUUAUAAUAUGUACAUUUAUUUUUUUUCUCAUAUAUAGUUUGAUAUGUUAUUAUGCGAAUAUAUGGCUGAUGAUACGUAAAUGAUAUUGUUGAUAGUUGGGAGUCACAUUAAAGACUUUAUCCUCGAUCAUGACAGGAGAGUGCGAUCGAUAGAAGGAGAUCUAUACAUGCAUGGCCUACACUAAUUGAGGAGAAAGCACUGUGUACUUCACUAUGCAUGCAUGCAUGCAUGCAUGGAUUGUUGGCUAGGGUGCAAUUAAAAUGCACCGCACAUUGGUUUUGCCACCACAUGGGGGUGCACUCAUCAUCAUUUGCAUAUCCAUGACAUGCAUGCAUUCGAGGUCAUAUGAUUGGAUCAAGGAGGUGAUGGUAAGGGGCCGGGCCCUCCGUCAAUGGAAAUUCUGGACACAAAUAUGCGUCAAGUGUUGGGAGGGAAGGGGAAAACUUACUGUUUUUGGCACGCAGAUUUGCUUGGAAUUUUGUUUAUUUUUGUAUUCACUCAAACGUUAUAUCCAUUCAUUGGUCGCUUAAUUUACUUGCAUUAAUGGUGAAGUGAGAACAAGAUAUCUCACCAAAUAAAAGGUGAUGAUGGAGAUUUACUAACUAGGAGAAAACAUACUCUUUUCAUUUCUUAACCACAAGAUACACUUACUGAAAGAGAAAAAAAAGAUUUAUUUAUUUUUUUAAAUAUAAAUUAAGUCAAAAAUGUGAAGCAACUAGAUAUAUUACAAAUCUCUCGUACCAAUUAACUAGGUUUCUCUCUCUCUUAGAGAGAGAGAAAAGAAAAAAACUAUAAAGCAACUUUUCUAGGGAUGGUAAUUAAAUCGCAUGUACAUACACUUAUUCAACAUCUCAUGUCUCAAAAAGUCGUUACCAUGAGGAGUCAACUUUUCACAUGGUAGACAUAGAAGACAAUCUCCAUGGAGUAAUUUUUAGAUGACUUAUUUCAACUUCUACACAAAUACUAAAAGCUUACUAUGUAGUUUAUACGGUAGUCACAUAAAAGUUUCGAAUACUCUGAUAAAUAACUUAUUCUAACUUCUACACAUGCCAUGAUUCCGACUUUUUUUAUUGCCAUGUACGACUUCUACUGAUCGAGUAAUGAGGAGACUUAUAUGUUCUCCCAUCUUAGAAAAAUAGAGUACUUAUCGGUUAAGAUGAUGCAUGGAUAGUACACAUCUGAGCCCAUUUCUAUUUGUUUGAUCUUCCAUCUUAGAAAAAUGGACUACAUGUCCUUUUUUUUUUUUUUUUUUUUUUUUUGAGAGAGAGAUAAAAUGGACUACAUGUCGGUUAACAUGAUGCAGAGAUAUAUAGGCUAUAUCUAGCCCAUUUCUAUUUGUGUGGAAACAUGCAUCUUUCUCACGUGCAAAUUGUGAGCCUCUUUACAAUUAAUAGGUGAGACUUAUGGCAUCCUCAUCUGCCUUGCAGGUACGGACGGACCAAUGUGUACCAAUUCGUGUCGAACGUGAUCUUGCGUGUACGAUCUUUCUUUGUUCUCCGUUAAUGCCUUUUUUUCUUGCUUUCCGUCUUAGGCGCAAGUGAUAAAUAACUUAAUAGUUUGUACCUGAACAAGAUGCAAAAUUUGAAACCUAACUAUUUCACAUUUCUAAUUAAGUUUAUUUUUUAAAAAUAACUAACAGACGUGACCGUACUAUGGACAUUUAGCGAAUAAAUGAUAAAAACAUUUGAACAAAUGAACAUAAAUAAAUUAAGCAUCUAGAUAGAGAAACGAGUAUGACUAGAGGAAUAAAAAUCAAAUAGAAAUUAACGUUUUAAAAGUUGUAUAAGUUUUUUUUUUUUUNAUUUUGUUUAUUUCUAAAUUUGAGAGAAAUAUAGUAUGCCAUCCGUUUUGUUUAUUUAUUUUUAAAAUAAAUUUAACGGAAAAUGUAAAUCAAUUAGAAUUCGAACUUGAAAUCUCGGGUACCAAUUAAUCACCAAAUUCUUUGCUACUUGCACUAGGAACGGUCAGUAAAAAAAAAAUGUAUAAGUUAUUAUUUGACUUUUCGAGUUAACUUAAAAAGCUAUCAUAUGUUAAUAAAUUGAAUCAGUAAACUUACGUUUAAGUGUUUAAAAAUAUUUGCAAGUGUUUAAAUUGGAAAAUUAAAUUAGAAUGAGUCACAUCUUUCAGGUCUCUACUAUUCAAAUCUUGCAACUUGGUCUACAUAUAUACUACGUUCUACUCGAACAUUAUAGUUAUUUAUAUAAAAGAAAAAUAAAAAAAAAGAUAAAAAGAGCUCUAAUUAAUUUGCUAAAAGUAAUUAUUUUUAUUCAUUUGUGCAUCCGAAGACAUUGAGAAAGAUUAUAUAGAACAAAGAAAAGAAAUAACUUUUACAUGAGGUGGGAGAGUGGGAGGGUGCUCACAGCAAUACGUACGCAACGGAGAAAGGGGUCUUACAAUAAAAAUUUUAAUAUAAAAUAAAGACGCUUUUUAGACCACACUUGAGGAAUGCAUCCUCAAGCGUUCCUACAAUAUAGCAAAUAUCGACGCUUCAAAAAGUAUCGUCAUAUAAACCUUUUAUUUUACCAAACUAUUUUAUUGAAUGAUAAAUUUUACAAUUAUUUUUAAUUUUUUGUUAUUUUGUAUUGUCAGAAUUUUGAAAAAAUUCUAAAAAAUUUUGACGCUUUAUUAAAGCAUCAGAAUAUAUUUUACCGAUGCUCUACAUAAGCGUCGGUAUAUACGCGACGACUCUUUAGUUGCCUACUAUAUUAUGACAUAGUUAAAUAUAAAUAAAAAAUUCUAAAUGUUAAUUUUCUUGUAAUGGGGGAUGGAAAGGGUGAACAUGCAUAUAUGGCGGGUGAAAAAAGUAUUAGUACAAUUUUGAAAUUUGAAAUAUAAGGAGUAUAUGGAGAUUUUACAUACUGGUCUGAGUAGAUAAUUAUGGAUGAAAGAGAAGUUAGUUAGUAUAAUUUUAAAUUUUGAAAUAUUAGAAGGAUAGGGAUAUAUUACAUAAUUUCGAAAAUAGUAAAGAGGGUAAGAUAAAAAAUAAAUUUGGCAAACCGACCGUCCCUAGAGCAUGUGGCAAAGGGCUUGGUGGUUGGUACCCGAGACCUAAGUUCGAAUUCUAGUCGAUUCACAUUUCUAGCUAAGUUUAUUUUUAAAUGAAAUAAACGAAACGGGUAGCGUGCAUGCUACCUAUCUCUCAAAAAAAAAAAAAAUUUGGCAGAAACUAUUUUCUGAAAGUUUGAAACUAAAGUUAGUUAGUAUAAUUUUGAAAUUUGAAAUAUUACGAGGAUAGGAAUAUAUUGCGUAACUUUGUGAGUAGAUAAUUACAGGUUGAAAUUCGAAAUAUAAGAAGGGUAGGUAUACAUUGCAUUAUUUCAAAAUAAUAAGAGGGUAAAAUAGAAACAAAUUCGACAGGCACAUUCUUUUUUUUUUUUGUGUUCCUCGAAGUUCGAAACCAAAGUUAAUUAGGUAGUGUAAUUUUGAGAUUCGAAGUAUUACGGGCAUAGGGAUAUAUAACGCAGAUUAUUACGGGUGGAACAGAAGCUAGUUUAAUUUUUGAAGGUUAGGCCAAGGAACUGGUAUUUUAAUAGUUGGGUUAAUUUUAUACAGAUCACUAUAAAUAUAGUGAAUGUCAAUUAUAUCUCUACAAAGUUCUACUUCCAUAUGUUGUUCCUGUAAAAAUUCUAAUUUUUCAAACAUGUCCAUCUGUUUUGUUACCGUUAGAGAACCGUUUAUAUUUUUUAUUUUUUCAUCACAAGUAUGCUCUCCAAAAAUAAUAAAGUAUUUAAUCUAUGUUUAACUAAAUUUUUCUGACGGAUUCUAACGGUAAGAACAUAUUUAAAAAUAUCAAAUUUUUAUAAAAGCAACAUACAAACGUUAAACUUCACAAAUAUAUAUUUGUUAAUUGUUAUAUUUGUGGGGAUCUCUAUGAAUUUUUUUAUUUUUUUAAUUUUUUUGAGAGAUAGGUAGCACACUAUCUGCUUCGUUUAUUUUAUUUAAAAAUAAACUUAGCUGUAAAUGUGAAUCAACUAGGAUUCGAACUUGAGUCUCGAGUAUCAACCACCAAACCCUUUGCCACUUGCUCUUGGGACGGUCGGUGAUCUCUAUCAAAUUAGUCCUUAAUAAUUUAUGUUGGACACAUUUCUUGUGUCGGGUCUUGAGACAUUUUGGCUUGGAGCGUCACGUGGACUUUUAUUUGAUACAAUAAGAGAACAGAUAGAAAAGAAAUUGUAACAAUAAUUAAUUAGAUUAGUUUUUAUAUAGGAAGAAGGUGACCAUUAGAAUUUUUUGAAAAACCAUACAUAUAUUUCUAGCAGUAGUGGUUUCUAAAAAGAUUUAUUUGUAAUAACAAGAUUGACAUAAACAGUUAGCUAAACAGUUAGAUAAAUCUAAAAACUGAAAAUGAACUUCCAUUUAUCUAAAUAGCUGCAUAAAAGCAAUAUAUAUGAACCAUCAUUUUAUAGUUCAUUAAAACUAUAUAUAUAUAUAUAUAUAUAUAUAUAAAGUCCGACUAUAGUGCUUGUAAAAGUACAAAGCACUUGGUAUUUGUAAGUUUUUUACCGUUAGAUCUGCGUCUUUGAUCAUUUUCAACCAUUAGAUUAUACUAUUCAACCAACUACCCACUCAACCCUAUGGGACCCACAUCAUCCUAACCGCACAUUCCUUAAUCCAAGGGCCGAAAACUUACAAGUACCAAUGACUUGGUACUUUUAAAAGUAUAGGAGCUCAAUUCUAUAUAUAUAUAUAUGCUACUGCAACUACGGUACUGAAACAAUGCAUCUUGCAUUUUCAAGCUGCGUUCAUGGGAAAUUAAUGAAUCUCUGAUUUGCAAUUGUUUUGUUAGAUUAUCUUAUUGUUAUGCGUCCAUUAAGGUUGUGUUUGAUUGGAGUAUAAGGAGAGGAAUAAGUUCUUAUUCUCUUUCUUAUACCCAAACAGUGUUUUUGAAUUAUGAAAACUGGAGUUCUCUUUAAUUAGGAACAAGGAGAAUUAAGAGUGGAACAACUUUUCUGUAACAAGUAAUUAAAAUUAAAAUCUAAUUUUGAUUAUUGUAUCAACUUACUAAUUAAUCUAAUUAAUAUAUUUAAGUCAUUAUCUAUUGUAUAAAUUCUUGUGUAAUUAAUUAAUUUAUUAUUUAUGGUACAUUAGCUCAUUAAAAAUUAAUUAUUUAAUGUGUUUAUAGAUCCGAGGAGUUAAAGAAUUGAGCUCCUAUGUUUUUAAAAGUAUCAAGUUAUUGGUGCUUGUAGAUUUUUAGCCAUUGGAUUAAAAGAUAUGCGGUUAGGAUGAUGUGGGUCCCCUAGGGUUAAGUGGGUGGUUGGUUGAAUAGUAUAAUCUAAUGGUUGAAAAUGAUCCGAGGAGUAGAUCUAACGGUAAAAAACUUACCAAGCACCAAUCUUUGGUACUUUUACAAGCACCAUAGCCGACUCUUGAGUAAUAUAUAUAUAUAUAUAUAAUAUAUAUAUAUAUAUAUAUAUAUAUUAUAUAUAUAUAUAUAUAUAUAUAUAUAUAUAUAUAUACUAUAUUAUAUUACUUAUAAAAGCGUGAGUUUUUAAUUUUUUUCUUUUUUCAAAAAUGCCUCAUAUCUUUUUUACUAAUAUUUUUAUGUCCAGUAAUUUUCAACCAAUCAUUUCAAAUAAUUCACUAUGUAAUAAUUUAUUCUCAAUAAAGAUAUUAAUUUUUUGCCAUUAGAUCUUAUCUAACGAUUGAAAAUAAAAGUAUCUGUCAAUUUUGUGACAAUAAUACCUUACAUUUAUAUCUAUUUUUAUCUACGCGUUCUCAAAUAUUUUCCUUUCUCACGUAUAAUAUAUGUACCACGUCAAUCCUUUCUACAUAUACGUCCGUAAAUUUCUCAAAUAUCUCAUUAAUCUACCUAUCAUAUACGUCAACACCUACAUAAAUAUCGGUUAACCUUUCUCACACGUAAUAUCCACGCAUUUUUCAAAUAUCUCAUCAAAAUUUAAAUCCUUUCCUCUUGUUUCUCAAUUGUCGACUUCGCCACCUUUGCCACAUUUGAGAGAGUAUUUUGAUCUAAACUGAAUUUUUUUAAUAUGGUUUUAUACUAUUUUUAGCAUAUUUUUUUUUAGUAUUUUCUCAUUUAAUUUAUUCAUUUUGGUAGACCCAGAUCAUCUUAACAUAGAUAUAUAGGAAACUCUAAACCGGCUUAAGAUUUUUGGAUGGUGCAAGCCGAAGAGUUAAGAGAUUAACUGCUAGUAGACGGGAAGUCCUUAGGAUGGUACCCCUGGGAAGUCGGGGCGUCACAGAGGUAUCCAAGCCAUUACCACCGGAAAUGUGAGAUGAGUCUCGCGAGCCAGGACCUGAUCACGGUCUAGCGAGACGAGUCUCACAUCGCUGGUACUUGUUGAGUCUGAGGCCUAACGAGGUACGUUAGGGGGCUUAGCGAGGUUGAGAUUGUGACCCAGAUAGUCCUUAUAUAUAGAUAUAAAAGGCUAAACCUUAACAUCACGGUUUAAGCAUAAUUAGUGGUGGUGAAGGCCAAGAGGUUAAGAGAGAUAAAGUGUGGCUAAACGGGAGUAGUUCCUUCAGAUGGGUGACCCUGGGAAGAUCGAGCGUGACACAUUUAUCAAAUAUAAAUAUAUUUAUAUUAGUAAUAUUUUUUCAUUCAUCCUAUAUGUUUUUCAAAAUAAUUCCAAAUAUUUUGGGUAGAUAUUAUUUUUUUUAUUUGUCCCCUCGCGUCGCACCGCGCAUUCGUGCAUCAGUUGCUCCUCAUCACGUACCCGGCUUCGGCACAUUGUCACUCGACAUCUACCCGCCGCGCACAUUAUCAAAAUAAUUUUAAAUUUUAAAUUUUGUUAAAAAUUUUUAAUGUGAAUUCAUUCAACAUUAAAAUUAGCAAUUAAAUUCAAAUUUUAAAUAUGUAUACACUUAAAAAAAAUGUUAUAUUAUAAAAUAAAUAUGAAAAGUAUUCUAUACCAAGUUAUAUUAUAAAAUAAAUUGAUAUCAUUAACUUAAAUUGAGAAUCUAAAUUCAAAUUUUAAAAUUUGUAUAACACGUUAAUGAACAAAUUGUAUAUUAUAAAAAUAAUUUUAUAAUUUAAACUUUUGAACCUCUUAAUAAGCCUAUUUAUAUUAUUUAUUAUAUAUUUUAUAUCAUUAUAUCUAAUUUAUAUUAUCUAUCUUUUCUUCAAUAUAUGAGCUCCUUAUGCUUUAAAAGUACUAAGUUAUUGGUGCUUGUAGAUUCCAAUUGGAUUUAAGAUGAUUAUUGUGGUUAGGAUGAUGUCGCUUCUCCUAGGUUGUAGUAGGUGGGUUGUUGAAUAGUAUCUAUUUAUUCUCUAAUGGGUUGAACAAAUGAUUCGAAAAGUAUAUCUAUACGGUAAAUAAACUUUUGUACAAGUACAAGUGUUUUGGUACUUUAAAGCACCAUACGCUGAAAUCUCUCUCUCUCUCUUCUUCUAUCGUCUCUCCUCUGUUUCUUCUUGCUUUUUUUGUUUUUAUUUCUUUUUCGCGCGCGGGCCCUCGGGCGCGCAUCCGAUCUCUCUCUCUAAUAUAUAUAUAUAUAUAUAUAUACUAUAUGAUUAACUAUAUCUAUAUAUAUAUAUUAUAUUAUAUAUAAUAUAUAUAAUAUAUAUAUAUAUAUAGCUGGGGUACUAUACUCAUAUAUAGUAUAGAACCUUUGUACUCAUAAAUUUUCGACCGUUCAGCAUAAAAAUGUACGGUUAUGAAUGAGAAUGGUUACGGUUAGGUUGAUAGUGGCCCCUAGGUUUGAUGAACGUGGUGUUGAAUGUAUCAAUCUAACGAGUGAAAUAAAUUAAAGGGUAGAAUCUAACGGCAAAAACUUAUGAGUACGAGCAGUCCUCUAUAUCAUAAGAGUAUUAGUACCGGACUCUAUAUACUAUAUAUUUAUCUAUAUAUAUAGCAGUUGAGCUGAAUACUCUCGAUAGUAAACCAGGGCAUUUUUACUAUCGAGUUGGUUUUCGAUGAUAGAGCUUCCAAAUUGACCGAUCGGCUUCCCGUUGAACAUGAUCUAUACCACUUAAGUGUUUAGAAAUCAAUUUCAAUCUUUUCAACAUUAUCUUUGGCCUAAUGAUCAACCAGGGUUCAAAAUUUGGUAAUUUAAUAGUGGAUAAGAAGACGUUUUUUCGUUUUAACGUGUAAAGAUAUUCAAAUCAAUUGAUUUUUUGUUAAAAAUUCUUUAAACUAUUUAAACAAGAUCUAUACUCUUGAUCUUUGAUUACAGACCCUAUCAUCAUUUUAAAGAAUAUUCAUUUUAACCAUUCAUUUCUGUUCAAUAGAUGGAUUAAAAGAACAAUAUCGACAAGUGCGUGAAAUUUGAUUUCUAGGGUAGUUAAAAAUGGUUUAGAUCAUAUUAACGAGCCCGAUCGUCAAUUUUGAAGCUCUAUCAUCGCGAAACAAACUCGAUAGUAAAUGCUCGCGUUUACUAUCGGAGUAUGUCCUAGCUCAACUCUCUCUCCUAAUAUAUAUAUAAUUAAAUAAUAACUAGGCUGGAAUGCUAUCAAUAGCACCAAGUUGUUGGUUGUGUUAUUGAGCUUUUUAGCCCUUGGAGUAAGAAUAUGCGAGUUAGAUUGAUGCUGGGCCCCCUAUGGUUUGAGUGCGGAGUUGGGUUGAAAUUAUAAUCCCAACAGAUAAAAAAUAAUCAAAGAAGUUAAUCUAACGGGCAGAAAACUUAAUAGUACCACAAUGUGUUUGGUGCUACUCGCAAUAGCAUAGGCAGCCGGAAAAAUUAAAAAAAUAUAAUAUAUCAUAUAUAUUACAUACAUUAAUAAUACCUAUAGCUAUAUAUAUACUAGUGAGGCUACUAUGCUCUGGCAAGUAUGAAGCCUUCCGUGCUUCCAGGAUGUUUUUUAUGUUGCGAUUUUCGAAAUCGUCGAUCGGACUCCUUAAACUGAAUCUACGAGUAUUCUGAAAAACCCUAGCAAAUAAAUUAUGCCAAUUUUUUAAUAUUAUUCUGUCCCCCUGCCUAAGUGAACGAAGGGGCUCAAAAAUCAACGCUUGAAAUAAAAACUUAUAAAACGGUGAUACCAUAUGAAAUUAAAAUUUUAGAUUAAAAGAUAUUGAUCUUGUUUUAUAUAGGUAUCAAAGAAUCUGUCUAUCAAAAUUUCACGUAUUUGGAUAUUUCUAUCACCGUAAACUGCAAACCGGCUCCACUGCACCAUUACAAAAUUUUGAAUUUUUGCACUUUCCGAUUACUAGCGUACACAUAAAUCGAAAAAUCAUAAAAUUAUUUUCUAGAUACUUAAAAUACUCUAGAAUGAAAUUUAACGGAGCCGAUCCGACCGAUUCAAAAUCGUAACAUCGAAAAACGACCUGGAAGGAUGGAAGGCAACGAUCUGAAGAGGAUGGAAGGUCCGUGCUUCCCAGAAGCAUAGUACCUUCUCCCACUCUUCCCCGUUCUCUCUCUCCUAUAUAUAUAUAUAUAAUAUAUACUACUCAUAAUAUACUAUACCUAUAUACUUUGUGAGGGUGAGCGAUGUUUGUCAUUCACAACACAAGUUUACAACCACAUUCAAGGCUUUAAUUCAACAUUAUUAAAUCACCGACGCUCUCCUCUGACAUUCAAGGUUCAUUGUAGCGAUUGGCUGACGAUAUAUACAACGUCACCAUCAGGCAUAGCAGUAAUAAAUGUGUCAUUAUUUUUAACUUUAUUGCUCGUUAAAUUUUAUAAUAUGUACAUUUAUUUUUUUUCUCAUAUAUAGUUUGAUAUGUUAUUAUGCGAAUGACUGAUGAAACGUAUAUAAUAUUUGUUGAUAGUUAGGGGUCACAUUAAAGACUUUAUCCUCGAUCAUGACAGGAGAGAGCCAUCGAUAGAAGGAGAUCUGUAUAUACAUGCAUGGCCUACACUAAUUGAGGAGAAAGCAAUGUGUACUUCACUAUGCAUGCAUUCAUGCAUGCAUGGAUUGUUGGCUAGGGUGCAAUUAAAAUGCACCGCACGUUGGUUUCGCCACCACAUGGGGGUGCACUCAUCAUCAUUUGCAUAUCCAUGACAUGCAUGCAUUCGAGGUCUUAUGAUUGGAUCAAGGAGGUGACGGUAGGGGGGUCCUUUGUCAAUGGAAAAUCUGGACACAAAUAUGCGGGAAAAUUAACGUACUUACUAUUUUUAGCACGCGGAUUUGCUUGGAAUUUUGUUUAUUUAUGUAUUCACCCAAACGUUAUCUCCAUUCAUUGGCCACUUGAUUUAUUUGCAUUAAUGGUGGAGUCGGAACAAGACAUCUCACCAAAUAAAAGGUGAAGAUGAGAUUUACUAACUAGGAGAAAAUUCCUUUCAUCAUUUCUUAACCACAAGAUACACUUACUGAGAAAGAAAGAUAGAUUUAUUUAUUUUGUAAAAAUAAAUUAAGUUAAAAAUAUAAAGCAACUAGAUAUAUUACAAAUCUCUCAUACCAACUAGGUUUCUCUAUCUCUGAGAGAGAGAGAGAGAGAAAAGAAAAAAACUAUAAAGCCACUUUUCUAGGGAUGGUAAAUUGCAUGUACAUACACGUAUUCAACAUCUCAUAUCUCAAAAAGUCGUUACUAUGAGGAAUCAACUUUUCACAUGGUAGACAUAGAAGACAAUCUCCAUGGAAUAAUUUUUAGAUAACUUAUUUCAACUUCUAUGCAAAUACUAAAAGUUUACUAUGUAGUUUAAGCGGUAGUCACAUAAACAAUAUUUCUAAUACUCUAAUAAAUUACUUAUUCUAACUUCCACACAUGUCAUGAUUCCGACUUUUUGAUUGCCAUGUGCAACUUCUGCUGAUCGACUAACGACGAGAGUUAUAUGUUUUCCCAUCUUAGAAAAUGGGAGCACUUAUCGGUCAAAAUGAAGCAUGGACAGGACACAUCUGAGCCCAUUUCUAUUUGUUUGAUCUUUCCAUCUUAGAAAAAUGGACUACGUACAUGUCCUUUUUUUUUUUGAGAGAGAGAUAAAAUGGACUACAUGCCGGUUAAAAUGAUGCAGGGACAGGCUACAUCUAGUCCAUUUCUAUUUGUGUGGAAACAUGCAUCUUAAUUUCUCAUGUGCAAUUUGUGAGCCUCUUUACAAUUAAUAGGUGAGACUUUUGGUAUCCUCAUCUCCCCUGCAGGACGUACGGUUGGACCAAUCAUGCGAACCAACUCGCGUCAACCGUGAUCUUGCGUAUACGAUCUUUCUUUCUUCUCCUUUAAUGCCUUUUUUAUUUUAUUUUUUUUUGGCUGUCCUCUCUCUAGUGUAAGUGAUAAAUGGCUUAAUAGUUUGUACUGGAACGAAAAUACAAAGUUCGAAAUCUAAUUAUUUGAUAUUUCUAGCUAAAUUUAUUUCUUAAAAACACUAGGUGAUGUGACCGUAUUAUGGACAUUUAGCGAAUAAAUGAUAAAAACAUUUGAACAAAUGAACAUAAAUAAAUUAAGCAUCUAGAUAGAGAAACGAGUAUGACUAGAGGAAUAAAAAUCAAAUAGAAAUUAACGUUUUAAAAGUUGUAUAAGUUUUUUUUUUUUGAGAGAGAAAGAUAGUAUACUAUCCGUUUCGUUUAUUUUUAAAUUUGAAAGAAAGAUAGUAUGCUCUUUGUUUCAUUUAUGUUUUUAAAAAAUAAAUUUAGCUGUAAAUAUGAAUGAAUUAGGAUUCGAACUUGAAAUUUUAAGUACCAACUACUAAACAUUUUUCUACUUGUACUAGAGACGAUCAGAAAAAAAAAAAAAUUGUAUAAGUUAUUAUUUGACUUUUCUAGUUAAACUUAAAAAGCUAUCAUAUGUUAAUAAUAAAUUGAAUCAGUAAACUUACGUUUAAGUGUUUAAAAAUAUUUGCAAGUGUUUAAAUUGGAAAAUUAAAUUAGAAUGAGUCACAUCUUUCAGGUCUCUACUAUUCAAAUCUUGCAACUUGGUCUACAUAUAUACUACGUUCUACUCGAACAUUUUAGUCUUUUAUAUAAAAGAAAAAUAAAAAAAAAAGAUAAAAAGAGCUCUAAUUAAUUUGCUAAACCAACGCUCAAACCUUAAAAGUAAUUAUUUUUAUUCAUUUGUGCAUCCGAAGACACUGAGAAAGAUUAUAUAGAACAAAGAAAAGAAAUAACUUUUACAUGAGGUGGGAGAGUGGGAGGGUGCUCACAGCAAUACGCAUCGGUGAAAGGUGUCUCACAAUUUUUUUUUUUAAUAUAAAGACGCUUUUUAGACAACACUUGAGGGACGUGUCCUCAAGCGUUUCUAUAAUAUAUAGCAAAUAUUGACGCUUAAAAAAAUAUCGUCAUAUAAACCCUCUAUUUUACCAAACUAUUUUAUUGAACGAUAAAUUUUACAAUUUCUUUUAAUUUUUUGUUACUUUGCAGCGUCAGAAUUUUAAAAAUAUUCUGAAAAAUUCUGACGCUUUAUUAAAACGUCAGAAUAUAUUUUAUCGACGCUCUACAUAAGCGUCGGUAUAUACACGACGACUCUUUAGUUGCCUACUAUAUUGUGACGCUUUUAAGAUAGUUAAAUAUAAACAAAAAAAUCCUAAAUGUUAAUUUUCUUGUAACGGGGGAUGGAAAGGGUGAACAUGCAUAUAUGGCCGGUGAAAAAAGUAUCAGAACAAUUUUGAAAUUUGAAAUAUAAGGAGUAUAUGGAGAUUUUACAUAAUUUUGUGACUAGAUAAUUAUGGAUGAAAGAGAAGUUAGUAUAAUUUUAAAUUUUGAAAUAUUAGAAGGAUAGGGAUAUACUACAUUAUUUCAAAAAUAGUAAAGAGGGUAAGAUAAAAAAUGAAUUUGGCAGAAACUAUUUUCUGAAAGUUUGAAACUGAGAUUCGAAGUAUUACGAGGAUAUAGGGAUAUAUAACACAGAUUAUUACGGGUGGAAAAGAAGCUAGUUUAAUUUUCGAAGCUUAGGCUAAAGAACUGGUAUUUUAAUAAUUGGGUUAAUUUCGUACAUAUAUAUAUAUUUAUAGAGUUGGACUGGGCCACUAUUAGUAGCAAAAUUCCAUUAUUGCUACCAGUUUUUUACCCUUCGGAUCAACUCUUUUCAUUAUUUCUAACCAUUGGAUUAAAUACUAUAACCCAGUAGGGACCACUCAACCCUAGCUGGACCACUCAACUCUAACCGACUAAUGUCAUCUUGAUCAUACAAUUUUUCAUCCAAGCAUUAAAAACUUGAUAGUAAAAAAAGCGUUUUACUAUUAAUAGUAUUCCAGCCUAAUUCUAUAUAUAUAUAUAUAUAUAUAUAUAUGGUGAAUGACAAACAUAUCUCUACAAAGUUCAACUUUCAUAUAUUAUUUUUAUAAAAAUUUUAAUAUUUUCAAAUAUGUCCUUCUAAUUUAUUAUUGUUAGAGAACUGUUUGUAUUUUUAAUUUUGUCAUCACAAAUAUACCGCUCCAAAAAUAAUAAUAUUAUAAUAUAAGAGGGAUAAAAAUGUUAAAAACUAAUCAGGGUAAAAUAUUUAAUCUAUAAUUAACUAAAUUUUUCUGACGAAUUCUAAUGGCAUGAACAUAUUUGAAAAUAUCAAAAUUUUUAUAAAAGCAACAUAUACAAGUUAAACUUUAAAAGUAUAAAUUUGUUAAUCAUUAUAUUUGCGGGGAUCUGUAUGAAAUUAGUCCUUAAUAAUUUAUGUUGGACACAUUUCUUGUGUCGGGUCUUGAGACAUUUUGGCUUGGAGCGUCACGUGGACUUUUAUUUGAUACAAUAUGAAAACAUGCAUCCACUAUAUAUAACUAGAAACUUGAACUUUGGGGAAUAAGUAUUUUUUACGAGUUAAAUAAUAAGAAUAAUUUCAUACAGCUUUCUAUAAAUAUAUAUUCAAUAGUAGAUAUAUUUUUAGACAGAUUAACUUAUCAUAUUUAUCAUUUAAAAAAUUUUAACGGUUUUAAAUAUAUUCCUACUGUUAGUGUCCGUUAAAAAUAUAUAAUUAAUCAUAGAUAAAAUAUUUAACCUUGAUUAGUGAAUGAGAUAAAUUAAUUUUUUUACUUCCUUGCUAUUAUAUCUUUUUCUCUCGAUCAAAAUUUUAGUUCAAUCAAAAACCCUAACAAUGAAACACCUCUUCCUCUUCCUCUUUCUCAUUCUCUCUGUCAUUCAUUCUAGUUUCGAACUCGUAACUAAAAUUUCUCCGUUCCCAAUCAUUCAUGACACAUGUUGCUUCAUUCAUGUCGAGCGCCGGAGAAUCAGUAUUAAAUAGGUAGAGAAGAAAAAAAGUAAGAGAACAAACAGAAAAGAGAUUGUAACAAUAAUAAAUUAGAUUAGUUUUUAUAUAGGAAGAAGAUGACUAUUAGAAUUUUUUGAAAGAACAUACAUAUAUUAUUUUUUGAAAGAACAUACAUAUAUUUCUAGCAUUUGCGGUUUCUAAAAAGAUUUAUUUGUAAUAACAAGAUUGACAUAAACAGUUAGCUAAACAGUUAGAUAAAUCUAAAAACUGAAAAUGAACUUCUUUUUAUCUAAAUAGCUGCAUAAAAGCAAUAUAUAUGAACCAUCAUUUUAUAUGCUACUGCAACUAGGGUACUGAAACAAUGCAUCUUGCAUUUUCAAGCUGCGUUCAUGGGAAAUUAAUGAAUCUCUGAUUUGCAAUUGUUUCGUUAGAUUGUCUUAUUGUUAUGGGUACAUUAAGGUUGUGUUUGAUUGGAGUAUAAGGAGGGGAAUAAGUUCUUAUUCUCUUUCUUAUACCCAAACAGCAUUUUUGAAAUAUGAAAACUGGAGUUCUCUUUUAUUAGGAACAAGGAGAAUAAGAGUGGAACAACUUUUCUGUAACAAGUAAUUAAAAUUUAAAUCUAAUUUUGAUUAUUGUAUCAACUUAUUAAUUAAUCUAAUUAAUAUAUUUAAGUCAUUAUCUAUUGUAUAAAUUGUUGUGUAAUUAAUUAAUUUAUUAUUUAUGGUACAUUAGCUCAUUAAAAAUUAAUUAUUUAAUGUGUUUAUCUAAUAACUAAUAUUUAUAUGGAUCAACUAAUUUAAUUAAUUGUUAACAAAUUAUCUAACUAAUUAAAUAAUUUACUAAUUAAUUAAAAAGUUAAGUUAUAUUUUAUAAUUUAUUAAAUAAUUACUUAAUAUGAUUAUUUAGUUAAUAUAUAUUUUCAUUACCUUUUACAAUAUUCUUAGCUAAUAAAUUUUUAAAUUUAUUAAAUUAUUUUUAAUUAAUAUUUAAUAUUAAAUAAUUUGAUAAAAUAUUAUUAAUUUAAAAUUAUAAUUAUUUUUAUUCCCACUAGUUAUUCCAAUCUAAUCAUAUAAAUACUAUUUACUUUAUUUUUAAAAAUAAUUAAAUUUUUAUCUAAAUAAAAUUUUACUCUAGAAUACCUAUUUUUGAAAUAAGCUGUUCUUAUUUACAUACAUGAACAUACAUGGGCAGACGAUGAAUAUUCGCGAGUAUGAAAUAAAUAAAAUAUACUAUUAUCACUACAACAAAAUUAGGUUAUAGGGACACAUGUUUGGGACACUUUUGAAUAAGUGUCCCAUUUAUACUAAAACUUAAAAAAAUAUCUACUAAUGCCUAAAUAUAAAGCCCAAUCCAACCAAAAAUAAAAAAUUACUCUACUCAACCCACCACAUCCAGUCCAUUUGACCCGAUUACAAACAGAAAAAAAAAAAGAAAAAUCAAUUACCAUCUUUUCUUCUUUCUUCACUCAAUCCACCGAAAUUCUAUACGAAGAGCCUUUCCUGUCGUCCUCCUCCGCCACCGCAGCCAACAAGAUAGAGUUUCGGCGUUUGCUAAAUACUUAAAUAAGUGUUGGUAAAUUAGCAACAUUUUUUUAGGUUAUAGCGACACUCUUUAACUGUCACUAUAUACCUAGCAACCCCACAUAUAGCAACACUUUUUAAAGUGUCGGUAAUUUUAGCUAGUAGUAUUUUUUUGACAUGUACCUAUAUUUAAAAGUAUCGCUAUAAACCGUUUUUGUUGUAGUUUAUUAUCUUAUAUAAAGGGCGUACUUGGAGUGGAUUUACAGCAUGCAUGGCCCAUGUGCUCCUCUCAUUCGACACGUCAUCGAAACCCUCCACUUUUCUCUCAGAUUAUACUCUAGAAUUUCUAUCUCUGAAAUAAACAAUUUUUAUUUAUAUCUGAACCAAAUGAAGCAUUAAACUUUAUACAUGAACAAACGAUGAAUAUUGACGAGUACGAAAUAAAUAGGUAUAUUAUUAUUAUUUAUAUGGAUUUGCAGCAUGGCCCACGUGCUCCUCGUUCGACACGUCGAUAACGCGACAAAACCCUCAAUUUUUCUCUCUGAUUAAGAGGGGAUGCAUACCAAGCAUGCAUCCUUUUUAUUUCCCCACCCCUACACAUGAUCUCUCUCAUUGCAUGCACGUCCAUUGGUCCACCGCCUUAGCUUAUUGAAUGUAAGUAACAAAACCUACUAGUAUAGGACCUGCGCUUUGCGACGAAUAGAUAGUAUUUUAAUCGUUGAAAGGAGAAGAGUGUUGCAGCGAAUUAAACUAAAAAUUUUAUUAAAUAUUUUUAAACUAAAUUUUGGUAGUGUAUUAUUUUCCACAUAUUUACAAUAGUCUAUAUAUAAGAACAAAUCAAAAAAUCCUAAUAGCAAUAAUUGAAUAAAGAUUUAAACUUAUCUCUUAUGUUUAACCAAUAAAAUAUUAAGAGAUAAACUUGAUAGAAAUGAAUGUGAACUUAUCAAAAAUGUUUGGUUACUUAUCAACAUUAACCAAUUAACAUGUACAUGUUUAUUAAAAUUUUAAUUUUAAAAAAUUAUAGCUAAAAAAAUGUAUGUACAUUAUAAAAAAUAAUUUUUUAUUAAUAAUUUUUUAUUUUUAAUAUUUAUGCAGUUAAAUUAUUCUAAUAACUUUAUUUUAAAAUUUUAAUUAAAUUUAAUGGUUUUGAUAGCUAUUUUAUAAAAAAAAAAUUUUAACUAAAAAGUUAAAGUUGGAGGACUUAUAUUAGAUGAUUUUAUCUUAUUAAAACUAAACUUUAUUUAUGUUAAAGUCAAAUUAAAAAAUAUAUGCGGAUGUCUUAUAUACCGAAUGUACAGCUUUUUAUGCACUGUAUUUAUAAAAUUUUGUUAUAAAAGUAAAAAUCUAUUAAUUUUGUAUCUAGAUUUUUUACAUAUUAUAAAUUAUAUUUAUCAGAUAAAAUUUUAAUUUUAUUAUAUUAAUUAUUAAAACAUAGCGUUGGAUCAUAUGAUGAAUUUUUAGAGAAACGAAAAAAGUGGGCUCUACUGAUUUGCCGCAAUACCAAGUGAAUAAUUUUUUUUGCACCGUAUUUAUAAUAUUUUAUUAUAAAUAUUAAAAUAUAUUAAUUUUUGUAUUUAUAUUGUUUUAUAUAUUAUAAAUUGUAUUUAUCACAUAAUUUUUUAAUUUUAUUAUAUUAAUUAUUUAAAAAUAAAUUUGAUUUAUAUGAUAAAAUUUUACACCUGAUGUAUGCUAAAACAAAAUAGAAAGUGUUGGUUCACAUGAAUGAGAGAGAGAGGACAGAAAAAAGUAGGGUCCACCGAUUUGUCCCAAAACCGGAGAGCAUGGUUUUACACUUUUCGGAUUCCCCUUUUAUGUUUUCAGAGAAUAAUGAUUAUUUUAUAUUAUUUAAUUUAAUAUAUAAUAUAUAAUAUUAAAGCAGGAGAUAUUAUAAGUUUGAAUAUUGUUAGGCUCUUAGUCUCAUAUUGUUUAAUUUUUUUUAUUUAAUUCAUGUCUAUGUCUCAAAUCUAUAAAAAAAAUUUUAAAGUCCAAACAUGUAGGAGAGUGUUGAAUGUGAAAAAAGAAUAAAAAUAUGCAGAAUUUAUCUGAAUUAUGGAUCAUUUUGAGUUGACUAUUUAAUCUUUCGAAAUUUUGAUUUUAUCGUUCAAUCUUUAAAUUUCUUUGAUUUCGGUCGGUAAACGAUUUUUUAACUUCAAAAUUUGAAUGUUUCGUUUAUCUUUAUAAAUUUAGUUAGCAUACUUCACGCAAUUAUCGCAACUGUAAAUUUAUUAAAAUAAAUAAUUAGCUUAAAUUUUGAAGUCAAAAUUCUAUAUACUGAUUCAAAUCAAACAAAUUGACAGGUUGGAUAAGAAAAAUUUUGGAUAAUCAACUCAAAAUGAUUCAUAGUUCAGAAAAGUUUUGUAUGUUUUUACUAAUAAUAAAAAUACUAUAUUUUCUGAUAGUUUAAUUUUUUUUUAGGAAUUAAUGAUUAUUUUAUUUUUUUAAGAAUUAAUGAUUAUUUUAUAUAAUUUAAUAGUAGCUUGGGAAUAUACUAUACUAUCACCAUUCACCCAAUAAAUUAACGUUUUCCAUGAUUUAAAUAUUAUUAUUUUUUUAAGACUAACUGAGAUUCUAAAUAGGGAAUUUUGUAAAGUUAGAAAAAUUUUGGUUCACAGAUGACAACAUGGUGGAAGAUGUAUAGAGAAUACUAUCUCUUCUCAUGUGUUUCUGGUGAAAUUGUUGCCUACUUGGUGUAUAGUACAUGUUGGUACAACUUAUACAAUAUAUACACCUUAAUUAAAUACUAAAAUAGAGGACUCAAAGUUCUAAAUCUAACUCAAUUGAAUAUUUUUAUGCAAUAUUAAAAAUCUUACAUGUUAGAUAUUUGUUUUUCAUUUUUACAAAUCAAAUAAUGCUCCUAUCUCUGCUGUUAAUUUUGAUUAAUGUAUAGUUAAUCAAAAAAUUUUGAAUUUUGAAUAUAGCUAAUAUAACAACAAUUUAAGAUCAGAUCAUAUAUAUCUCGAUCAUUAAUCUAAACUUUAAGACUAAAUUAUACGUCUCAGAUGUUCAGCUCAAGUAAAAAAUUCUUAAAAUCUCGUGCUUUUUAGUACUCAAUAUAUAUUGGUAUAUAACCUUGUAAAAGUCCUUUUGUAUUUUAUAGAUGUAUAAAAAAAAAAAGUUAAUUAGGCUCUUCAAAAUUUUUUGCAUGUAGCUAGACUCCUCGAGUAAGUUUUCUUUUCUUCUUCUUUAUUUUUUUAUAAUAACAUAUCAUAUAUUAUUAUUAUUAUUACUAUUACUACUACUAUUAUUAUAAUUAUUGUUAUCGUGCAUGUAACUACACAAAUAUAUGGCGUAGUGACAAAGACCAAUUUAGGGUUAUAUGUUUUGAAGAAACACGAUCCAACCAAACUGAAUCGAAAUUUCGUUGAGUUCAGUAAUUCUUGUAAUUAGCGCGAUAAAUUUUUAAAUAGUCAUAACCUUUUCGCUAGCUUGAGUAUAUAUCUGAUUUUAACGUGCAAUCUCAAUUCGAAAUAUACUUUCGAGAUCUACGCAUCAAAUGGCCUUAGCCACUUUGGCUGAGUUUGAGACCCAAAUUCAAUUGUUUCGAUCUCUGUUUUUAUAUUCUUAGUUUAUUUUUGAAAAAUUCUGCAUUUUUUUUUACUUUUAUAUGAUCAUUUAAUUAUUUUUUAAUCUAAUUAGGUUUAGAGAUAUAUUGGAAUUUAUUAUUUUCGUCUAGUAAGAUUCAAAAUUUAUUUUUUAUAAUACAUAAACGUGACGUUCGGUUAAUGUAAUUAGAGAUUUUGAAAGUUGAUUAAUAAUAUCUUAUCUUUGUCGAAAAUUUGAUUUUUCAUGUAUCAUCUCUUUCCGUCUGUUUUUUUUCUCUCUCAACGCAGCUUUAGGUGUGCAUCUGUUAAAGUUAAAUUAGUAUCAUUCAUGCUAUUUGACUUGGCCACCCAGUUGUUUGAAGAAUCAAAAUACAUUCUCGGACGUCAACUUACAAGUCAAAAAUCGAUUCAACAAAAAAACAAAGAAAAAAAAAAAAAACUUUAAGAGCCUGUUUGGAUGCACAAUAAAAAAUCUCCAUGGAAUUUAUAAACUGUGGUUUUGGUCCAAAUGAAGUAAGAAAUCCUGUAAUUCUAAAAAAGUCCACUGAUUCAAUUUUUAAAAUUUAAAAUUUAAAUAAAAUUUAAAAUUUGAUAUGUGAAAUGUGAAAUUUUAAAUUUUAAAUUCUAAAUUUUAAAAUUUGAAAAUUAAAAUUUUAAAAUAUAAAAAUCUAAAUUUAAUUUUAAAAUUUUAAAAUUUUAAAUUUUAAAAUAAAAAAUUUUAAAUUUUAAAUUGAGAAUUUAGAAUUUUAAUUUUUAAAAAUAAAUUUAAAAUUUAAAGUUCAAAAUUUGAAAUUUAAACUAUGAGAUUUGAGAUUUGAAAUUUAAAAUUUAUAAUUUAUAAUUUAAAAUUUAAAAUUUAAAAUUUAUUAAUUUAAAAUUUAAAAUUUAAGAUUUAUUAAUUUAAAAUUUAAAAUUUAUUAAUUUAAAAUUUAAAAUUUAAAAGUUAAAAGUUAAAAUUUGAAAAUUAAAAUUUAAAAUUCAAAAAUUACGUUAUUUGUUUUAAUAUAGUUUAACUAUACUCCAAAAAUUACGUGUUUUUUUUUUUUUCCAAUCUCUUUAUAGGAUAAUUUUUCCUACCGGUGUAGUAUAGUUUAACUAUGCUACGUUUUUAGGGAUAUCCAAACGGGGUCUUGGUAGUUAAUGAUUGUUUAUUUGUAUAAUUUUAGGAUGCUUAUUACUCUUUAAUUACUGCUUAUGGCAACCAUCUCUAAGGCACACUAAUCAAUUAAAUACAAACAAAACAUUUUAGGACAAGAACAAAAGUUUCAAUGUCUCCCACUCUAGAUCAACAAGGAAAGGGACUUCAAACUAAUGUCUCACACUCUAGAUCAACUAGGAAAGGGACUUCAAACUAAUGUCUCCCACUCUAGAUCAACAAGGAAAGGGACUUCAAACUAAAACAAAGACCAAGAUAAGCUAAUUCAUUAUUGGAGUGCAAGUCAAUUGCUGGCUGGUGUUCAACUGUUCCACUUGGGCUUUAUUUGGAAAUGCCGCAGCGCGUGCAAGAAUCAAAAAUCGAUCGGUCAAACUGCUCGUACAGUUGAUAAAAAUACUAUAUUUUAUGCUAACGAUAGUAAAUUCUUGAUAAAAGUUGUUGAUGUAUAUAUGUUUUGUACUAAUCUUGCCAAUUUAACAUUAGAGUUUUUGAAAAAACGUGACUUAGCCAAGUUGAGUCGAAAAUUACGAUGAAUUUGAUAAUUUUUACAAUAAGUGUGAAAAGUCUUUAAAUGGUUUUCGUGUAUCUCUUUUUUUCCGUCCUUAUGCUUCUUCCCUCUCAACACGAUUUAGGUCUGCGUCAUGCACUACAACAGAAUUAGGUUAUAGGGAUACAUGUUUGGGACACUUUUGAGUAAGUGUCCCAUUUAUACUAAAACUUAAAAAAAUAUCUACUUAUGCCUAAAUAUAAAGCCCAAUCUAACCAAAAAUAAGAGAUUACUCUACUCAACCCACCACACCCAGUCCAUUUGAGCCGAUUACAAAUAGAAAAGAAAAAAAAAGAAAAAUAAAUUACCAUUUUUUCUUCUCUCUUCACUCAAUCCACUGAAAUUUUAGACGAAGAGCCUUUCUUGUCGUCCUCCUCCGCCACCGCAGCCAACGAGAUAGAGUUUCGGCGGUUGCUAAAUGCUUAAAUAAGUGUUGGUAAAUUAGCAGCACUCUUUUAGGUUAUAGCGACACUCUUUUACUGUCACUAUAUACCUAGCGACCCCACAUAUAGCAACACUUUUUAAAAGUGUCGGUAAUUUUAGCUAGCAGCACUUUUUUGACUUGUACCUACAUUUAAAAGUGUCGCUAUAGACCGUUUUUGUUGUAGUGGAUAUGUACGCAUUCUAAAUUAAAAAAAUUAUAAUUUCAUGAGAUUUUUCUUUUUUUUCUUUUUUUUUUUUUUUUCCUUUGAAUAGUUUGGAUGGAGCAACUGGUCCAGAUAAGAUUAAAAAAAAAAAGAAGGAUGUAAGUCAAUUUCCGUACUGAAUACGUUCUUGCAAGUUGCGAGAGACCAAGGGCACGCGCAUACGACGCCACCGUAAUACAUAAAAUAUUCCACACCACACCCUACAUAUUGGACCAAAAAUAAUGGUCCCAGUGCCAACUACAUAUAUACUGAUGCAAACUGUACAUUUACUGGCAGGGUCAACUUGUAGUUUCAACAUAUUAACGCGUUACCGACCGUUUCUAGAGCAAGUGACAAAAGACUUGGUGGUUGGUACCGAGGUCCCAAGUUCGAAUCCCAGUUGAUUUAUAUUUCCAGCUAAGUUUAUUUCUAAAUAAAAUAAACGAAGCGGGUAGCGUAUUACCUAUCUCAUCAAAAAAAAAAAAAAAAAAAAAAAAAACAUAUUAACGUGUUAUCCGAUCUGGGUUUUCAUAGUUUGAAUUAAGUGUAUGUGUAUUGAUCAGCUGUGGCCUUUCAAUCUCACGGAGCUAGCUAGUGCGACUUCGUUAAGGAGCUCCUCAACGAGAUCUUGCUAAAACUUUUUUUUUUGAGAAAAUAGGUAGCAUGCUACCCGUUUCGUUUUUUUCAUUUAGAAAUAAAUUUAGCUCAAAAUGUGAAUCAACUAGGAUUCGAACUUGGAUCUCGGAUACCAACCACCAAGCCUUUUGCCAUUUACUCUAGAGACGGUCGGUUAUCUUGCUAAAACUGUUAGUGCAAUGAUUCCGCUAUUCAUAUAUUGGCAACACAAUCGAUCAUACUUACACUAAUCGUGUUAAUAUAUAUUAGGAGGCGCCAAAUUAGACACAUGCACCACACUACUUAGAGAGUAGUGUAGGAUGAUCUUCAAUUAUAUAUUCAAAUUUGAUCCUAUUUAUUAGAGAGAUCGUGGAAGCUCGAGUCCAAAUUAAUUCAUGGAUAGGCUCGAACCCAUUAAUUAGUAUGUCUCGAAUUUAUACUGCCAAUAAUUAUUAAUUGUAGGACUAAUUAUAGUGACACUUUCAAGGAUUAAUAUCUUUGUAAAAUCAACACUUUUAUUAAGGGGUAUAUACAAUUAAUAUGUUCAAAUUUCACAGAGUAAUACGACUGCAUGCGCGUAGAAGAUGAUUUUAUAGGAAUGUAUAUAUGUAUGUAAAAGCCUCAACCAAUAGACACAUCUAAUAGUUGUGAUCUCCUGACUCUUUCUAGCGCAAGUGGUAAAAAACUUGAUGGUUGAUAUCAAAAGUUAAUUUCAAGUUUGAAAUUUAAUUACUUCAUAUCCCCAACUAUGUUUAUUUCUAAAAAAAUAAAUAAUAAACGACGCGGACAGCAUGUUACCCUCCUCUCUAAACAAAAAAAAGUCCUAAUCUGAUCGCAAAGAGAAACAAAGCCCCUCCCACGGAUAUUGGAAAAUUACUAAUCUUAUAUACGUGUUAAUAAGAAUGAUCAAUUUUUUCAUGCAUAUGCAUAAAGAUCGAUCAUUUGAGAAAAGAUUAACAUGUAAUUAUUAAUGAAAUCUUGAUCACUGUAUAUAGUACGGAAGGGACGACAAAGUAUAUAUUGUAUAUAUCACUACUAAGUGUGCUCACUACAUGUAUAACGAUACAUACUAAUCUACUAGACAAAAAGAUGAUCAUUUCACUAACUAGAGUUACACACUUUUUCGUUUUUCCUUUGGGAAUGUGCAUGGUAGUGAUAGAUACAUAUAUGUAUGUUUCUUAUAACCCACUAGCGAGUCAAUAGUCAAUACUAAACAAGACUAAAUGGAGCCCAUCUUAGUUAACAACUUGGUUGGGUGAUCAAUCAAUCGAAGUCGACGUAGUGAUCGACGACCUGAGACUAUUUCAACGCGGCAACGGGCUCGGGACCAUCGUAAUCUAUUAAAAUGAUCGAAAUCACGAAAUUAAAGUUGUGAUUUUGCAGGGUAAUUAAUUAGGAGAAUGAGCUGCAGAAUUAAAUGUUUAAAUGAAGCAUAUAUAUAUAUAUAUAUAUAUAUAUAUAUAUAUAGAGUGAGGCUACUAUGAUAUCGGAANAAAUAAAAAUCUUACAAAAUGUAAUAAUAUGACAUUAAAAUUUUAAAUCAAAGAUAUUGAUCUUGUUUUAUAUAGUAUAAAGAAUUUUCUAUCAAAAUUUCACGUGAUUCGGAUAUUUCUACACCGUUAAACUUGCAAACGGCUCACUACAGCCUUUGAAAUUUGUUGAUUUUGAGCCCAUUCGAUCACUAGGCAAAUGAUAUCGAAAAAUAAUAAAAUUUAUUUUCUAGGUACUCCAAAUACUCUAGAUCAAGUUUAACGGAGCCGAUCGACGAUUCGAAAGUCGGAACAUUGAAAACGAGCUGGAAGUACGAAAGGCUCCAUGCUUCCGAUAGCAUAGUAGCCUCACUCUAUAUAUAUAUAUAUAUAAGAUCAGGUUGGUUGGUCAGAUUCUACCACUAGUCAUAGGCUAUUCUUAAAUUGUUGACUAAUUGAUUUAUAGUUGUUGAAGGCUUUAAAUAGUUGUUGACUAUUUAAAUGUAUAAUAUUAAAAUGUAUAAUGUUUAAGGGUUUUUUUUUUUUUGAGAAAAAGGUAGCAAGCUACCUGCUUCAUUCAUUAAGCAGGUAUAAUGUUAAAUGGUUGUGUCAUCCACAUUGCAUCAAGUCAGGAGUCAUUGGCUCUGGUAGAUUUUUGAUUCUUGGAUUAAGAAAUGUGGGGUUAGAAGAACAGCGGUCCACAAGAUUAAGUGGGUGGUGGUUCGUGGAAUAGCAUAAUAUAAGGAGUAAAAUUAAUUGGUCAAAGAUAUAAAUUUAACAGUGAGAAAGUUAUAAGCAUCAAAUACUUUGUACUUUUAAAAGCACCAUAGUCGGACUAUGUGAGUGUUUGAUAUAGCAUUCGAAAAGUAAUUUUUGGUCCAAAAGUGAUUUUCGACUUAAUAGAACAUUUGACAAUCUAAUUUUCAAAAUCUGAUUUUGAUUUUUAGAAUCAACUUUUUAUUUUUCGAGGACCAAAAUCAGAAGCAGCUAAAAUCUGCUUCUUAAAAACUGAUUCUACUUUUGGACUCAAACUUUAAAUUUUUAUUUUGAUUUCAUAUUCAAAUUUUAAAUUUUAAUUAAAAUUAAAAUUUUUAAUUUAAUAUUUAAAAUUUUAAAUAUAAGAUUUUAAUUUUUAAUUUUUAAUUUUAAAUUCAAAUUUUAAAUCUUAAAUUUUAAAUUUUAAAAUUUUAACUUUCAAUUUAAAAUUUAAAAUUUAAAAUUUAAAAUUAUAAGUAGUGAUUUUUAAAUUACAAAUUACAAAAUUUAAAAAUUCAAAUUUAAGUUUUUUAAUUUUUCAAUUUUAAUUUUUAUUUAAAUUUUAAAUUGUUAGUUUUAAAUUUUAAUAUUCAAAUUUUAAAUUUUAAAUUUUCAAAUGUUAAAUUUUAAAAUUUAAAUUUAGAUUUUUUUUUGAAAUUUAAAAUUUAAAUUCCAAAAUUUUAAAUUAAAAUAUCAAAAUUUAAAUUUUUGUGCAAAUUUAAAAUUUAAUAUGUAAAAUUUUUAACUAAAAUUAAAAAUUAUAAUUUUUAAUUUAAAUUCAAAAUUUUAAAUUUUAAUUUAAAUUCAAAUUUUAAAUUUAAAUUUUUUCAAAUUUUAAAUUUAAAUUUAAAUUUUUAAUUUAAAUUCAAAUUUUAAAUUUAAAUUUAAAUUCAAAUUUUAAAUUUAAAUUUAAAUUUUAAAUUUUAUUUUUUAACAUAAAGUUUAAUAAAAAAAUAUUAUAUGCAAAUAUUAAAAAAAAGUGUUUUGUUGGUUAGUUCUUAAGAAGAGGCACUUUACAACAGACAAUGUUCUUAGGAGAGGAUGGACCGGAAACACGGUCUACAUGUUAUGUGGGGUGGAGGAGAAAACUGUAGACCAUUUUUUCACUCAAUG
rnacentral:lncRNA from 1 species